rnacentral:rRNA from 1 species
AUUGAACGCUGGCGGCAGGCCUAACACAUGCAAGUCGAGCGAGCGGCGGACGGGUGAGUAAUGUAUGGGGACUGCCCGAUAGAGGGGGAUAACUACUGGAAACGGUAGCUAAUACCGCAUCCUAUCGGAUAACCCAUAUGGGAUUAGCUAGUAGGUGGGGUAAUGGCUCACCUAGGCGACGAUCCCUAGCUGGUCUGAGAGGAUAAUCAGCAACACGGGGACUGGGACACGGCCCGGACUCCUACGGAGGAAGCAGGGGGGAAUAUUGCACAAUGGGGGCAAGCCUGAUGCAGCCAGGCCGGGUGUAGGAGGAAGGCCCUAGGGUUGUAAAGUACUUUCAGUCGGGAGGCGUUACCGGCAGAAGAAGCACCGGCUAACUCCGUGCCAGCAGCCGCGGUAAUUC